rnacentral:rRNA from 1 species
GACGAACGCUGGCGGCGUGCUUAACACAUGCAAGUCGAACGGAAAGGCCCUGCUUUUGUGGGGUGCUCGAGUGGCGAACGGGUGAGUAACACGUGAGUAACCUGCCCUUGACUUUGGGAUAACUUCAGGAAACUGGGGCUAAUACCGGAUAGGAGCUCCUGCUGCAUGGUGGGGGUUGGAAAGUUUCGGCGGUUGGGGAUGGACUCGCGGCUUAUCAGCUUGUUGGUGGGGUAGUGGCUUACCAAGGCUUUGACGGGUAGCCGGCCUGAGAGGGUGACCGGCCACAUUGGGACUGAGAUACGGCCCAGACUCCUACGGGAGGCAGCAGUGGGGAAGAUUGCACAAUGGGCGGAAGCCUGAUGCAGCAACGCCGCGUGCGGGAUGACGACCUUCGGGUUGUAAACCGCUUUCGCCGGUGACGAAGCGUGAGUGACGGUAAUGGGUAAAGAAGCACCGGCUAACUACGU